rnacentral:lncRNA from 1 species
CUCGGCCUCUCGGUUCUGGGCGGCCAGUUAGACCCCUGCCUUCUCCGCUGCGGUGGGGAGAGGUACUUGCACUUCUCUCAGUUCCAAGGCAGAAAGGACCUGGGUCACCAUGGGAUAGUCAGUGGAGCCUCAGUUUUCCAUCCGAUUUGUGGAAGAGCAUGGCCUUCGGAGACAGCCUGGACCAAGCUGAGGAAAUACUCAGGUUGGACCAGGUAAAGGACUUCCAGAACAAGCGAUCGUCCCAGCACGGAGGCUGGUUACAGAGGGCCUGCGGCUGGACCUCUGGCUGCGACUGGGCCUGGUGCUCAGGCAGGGGAAUGACGCAUAUGACCUGUAUUCGCUUCCUUUUUGGAUGGGAGAGAGAGAGGGGCUGCCUGGCGCCGAGGACCCAGGACCUGCUUGGCCCUGUGACACACGACGCUCUGCCCCUGCUGGUUGCCGGUUGUCACCCAUCCCUGCCUACAGGUAAGCAGAGGGCAGAGGUAGAGGGAGGGACAGCAGGGAAGCCAUGCUCCCUCUGUGCCCUUCAAGAAGAUCCCGGGCAUCUGCAGUAGAGUGGCCCCCUUGUUUCUGGGCUCUGUGGGAAUGUCCUAGGGUUUGAUGGGCAGUGAAGGGGUGUGGCCAAAGUGCCCUCUGAACUGUUGAGCUGUGUCCACAUGAUCAGACCUCCUGGGACCUUAAGCAAGUGGCCUAUGCCUUUGCAGCCUCAGUUUUCUCAUCUGUAAAGUGGGUUGUAGGAUUGUUCUGAGGGUUGAAUAUACCAGAUAGAAAGCACUUAAUGUGGACUCAGGCACACGGUAGAUGCACACAGUUCAUAGCAGAAGUGUCAGUAUGGUUGAUGAAACCCCAGCUCCAGCUGUGGCCCAGCUUGCAGAAGGAGGAGGCUGAGGACAGCUCAGACCCUGCACCUCCAACUACUGCCACCCUGCCCAGCCUAGACACCCCUCAUAGGCCAGUAAAUUCUCUCUCUCCUCUCACCCUCUGCACCCUAAGAAGAGGGUCCCUAAGGUCUGUAUGUGUAUGGGUGGAAGGAAGGCAGAGAAGGCUUCAUGGAGGAAGGGGCAUUUAAGCAGGGAUCUGAGGAUUGAGUUGGAGUUCAUUGGGCACAGCAGGAUCCAGGCCUGACAGAGCAGAAGGUGGAACACCUGCACAGGUCCAGAGGCGGGAGAGAGCUGGGUAUAGUGAAGAGCCCCUGGGGGCUGGAAUGGAAGGAGGGAGGUGGAAAGUGGCUUCCUGUGGUCAGGCCUGACUCUAACCUGAUCUCCCUUCUCUGUAG